CUUAUAAAGAAGGCCCAUAGCCUGCUCUGCACUUGAGGACACAGGCAGCAAGUGCCUGCUUUGAACCAGGAAAUGGGCCCUCAUCAGAAUGUGACCACACUGGUGCCCUAAUGUUGUACUUCCUAGCCUGCAGAACUCAGAAGAAUAUGAAGAAAUUCCAAACCCAACAAGCCUCCCAGGAAAGAUGCUGUGGGAAAAUGAAGGGAUUCUGCAUUUGCUCCCAUAAAAUUUAUGGUAUAUGCUUGCUCAAAGUCCUGGUCUAGGACCUCUCCAUCACUGGUGUGGAUCCAACUCCUCCGUGUGCAUGAGUGUAGUGUAGACACACCCCCUCCAUACAUGUGAUCUCUUA